GUCAUUCAAUGUUCCUUCUUAUGGACCGCGUUUUAAUCAACCGUUGUUUAUUCCAUCCACCAGUACUUACUAUCGACAAAAUUAUUUUAUACCACGAGUGUGUACGUGCAGUCUUUUUAACAAGCUUUGCAAGCAAUACGAUUUUGAUCUAUUUACCACCAGUGUUGCUACGAUACUGCAGGCGAUAGAAUGUUGUUUCUUUCGUGGUUCAUUUUUCACUUGUGUAGACUGAUGAUGCUUAUAGAACUUUGUCACCGUACUCAGCAACAGUGUCAAGAAACCAAAAAACUAAUAAACCGUCUCAAAUAUGUUUGGUGUGCAUUCGAUUCGGUUUAUAAUGAGCUGGAACACUUCAAGCAGACA